rnacentral:rRNA from 1 species
ACAACGGGUUGAUAUUCCCGUACCCGCUUCAAUGCGCCCAUAUCGAACCUCGUGAUGCUAAGAGUCCUUAAGUCCUCUGAUGUCCUUCGGGACUAGGGGUGAGGCUGAACGCUCGAUCCGAUCGGGUAGUAGGUAAGCGAUGGGGUGACGCAGGAAGGUAGUCCAGCCCAGGCGAUGGUUGUCCUGGGGUAAGCAUGUAGGGCGGAACGUAGGUAAAUCCGCGUUCUAUUCAGCCUGAGAUGUGAUGCCGAGCCGAUUGUGGUGAAGUGGAUGAUCCUAUGCUGCCGAGAAAAGCCUCUAGUGAGUGUUGUGGCGGCCCGUACCCUAAACCGACUCAGGUGGUCAGGUAGAGAAUACCAAGGCGAUCGGGUGAACUGUGGUUAAGGAACUCGGCAAAUUGCCCCCGUAACUUCGGGAGAAGGGGGACCUCUGCUGGUGAUGGGCUUUACGUUCUGAGCUGGUGGGGGUCGCAGUGGCCAGGGGGAAGCGACUGUUUACUAAAAACACAGGUCCGUGCGAAGUCGUAAGACGAUGUAUACGGACUGACGCCUGCCCGGUGCCGGAACGUUAAGGGGACCGCUUAGCCAACGCGAGUUGGCGAAGGUGAGAACUUAAGCGCCGGUAAACGGCGGUGGUAACUAUAACCAUCCUAAGGUAGCGAAAUUCCUUGUCGGGUAAGUUCCGACCUGCACGAAUGGCGUAACGACUUCCCCGCUGUCUCAACCACAGACCCGGCGAAAUUGCACUACGAGUAAAGAUGCUCGUUUCGCGCAGCAGGACGGAAAGACCCCGGGACCUUCACUACAGCUUGACAUUGGCGUUUGGAACGUCUUGUGUAGGAUAGGUGGGAGACUGGGAAGCUGUCACGCUAGUGAUGGUGGAGUCAUUGGUGAAAUACCACUCUGGUCGUUUUGAACGUCUAACUCUGGUCCGUGAUCCGGAUCGGGGACAGUGUCUGGUGGGUAGUUUAACUGGGGCGGUUGCCUCCUAAAGAGUAACGGAGGCGCCCAAAGGUUCCCUCAGCCUGGUUGGCAAUCAGGUGUUGAGUGUAAGUGCACAAGGGAGCUUGACUGUGAGACUGACAGGUCGAGCAGGAGCGAAAGCUGGGACUAGUGAUCCGGCAUCGGCGUGUGGAAGCGGUGUCGCUCAACGGCUAAAAGGUACCCCGGGGAUAACAGGCUGAUCUUCCCCAAGAGUCCAUAUCGACGGGAUGGUUUGGCACCUCGAUGUCGGCUCGUCGCAUCCUGGGGCUGGAGUAGGUCCCAAGGGUUGGGCUGUUCGCCCAUUAAAGCGGUACGCGAGCUGGGUUUAGAACGUCGCGAGACAGUUCGGUCCCUAUCCGCUGCGCGCGCAGGAGACUUGAAGGGGGCUGUCCCUAGUACGAGAGGACCGGGACGGACGAACCUCUGGUGUGCCAGUUGUACCGCCAGGUGCACGGCUGGUUGGCUACGUUCGGAAGGGAUAACCGCUGAAAGCAUCUAAGCGGGAAGCUCGCCUUGAGAUGAGGUCUCCCACCCCGUGAGGGGGUAAGGCUCCCGGUAGAUCACCGGGUUGAUAGGCCGGAGGUGGAAGCACGGUAACGUGUGGAGCUGACCGGUACUAAUAGGCCGAGGACUUGACCG